rnacentral:rRNA from 1 species
GACGAACGCUGGCGGCGUGCUUAACACAUGCAAGUCGAACGGAAAGGCCCCUUUGGGGGUACUCGAGUGGCGAACGGGUGAGUAACACGUGAGUAACCUGCCCUUGACUUCGGGAUAACUUCAGGAAACUGGGGCUAAUACCGGAUAGGAAUCCUUGCUGCAUGGUGGGGGUUGGAAAGCUUCGGCGGUUUUGGAUGGACUCGCGGCUUAUCAGCUUGUUGGUGGGGUAGUGGCUUACCAAGGCUUUGACGGGUAGCCGGCCUGAGAGGGCGACCGGCCAUAUUGGGACUGAGAUACGGCCCAGACUCCUACGGGAGGCAGCAGUGGGGAAGAUUGCACAAUGGGCGGAAGCCUGAUGCAGCAACGCCGCGUGCGGGAUGACGGCCUUCGGGUUGUAAACCGCUUUCAGCAGGGGCGAAGCUUGUGGUGACGGUACCUGCAGAAGAAGCACCGGCUAACUACGUG